UCAGUAAAAAGCACGUUCACGUUUGACGUAACCAAAGAGCAUUGACUUACCGGGACCCGGAAGAAAAAUUACAUCGACAUUAUCUCAAUUUACACGACUACACGUGGUGGUUACAAAGGUGAUAUAGUCUCGAGCACUAGUGUUUGGGGUUCUGCGGGAAGGAUCGUAACCAGAGCUGAUCAAGAUGUUAGUUCAGGUCUUGCUGUUGGUUCUCCACCUACACCUUGGAAUGUCCAUCAGUGGAGAAGUGGACAUGCCAGGAGACGUGGUGCUAGGAGGCCUCCUUGCUGUACAACACUAUGAAAAUGGGUCAUGUACUGGUUUGGACUACCGGUCGGUUCAGAUCAACGAAGCAGUGAGGUGGUUCUUGCGGCAACUCAACGACAGGUACUACAUUCCCAACGUCACACUGGGUUUUCAUGCUUUCAAAACUUGUGGGAACGCCC